GACGGAACAGACAAUGUAUAAAAAGGUUUACUCACAACAUUUCUGGGAGCAACUGUGGUUCAGAGAGGUUCUCCUGAAUACUUUUGACCCUGGGACCCUCUGAGGAUGAGCUGCGAGCUGCUGGACCUCUUCCUCCCAGCACCUUCAGCCAGUGGCCUGCCCCCUGACAUGUAGCCAGUCCCAAGGAUGAACACCUAUUCGAACUGUCCUGAACUUCUGGCCUCCACGAUCUGAUCAUCUGCCCCUGCCUGUUCCUGACCUCCGCAGCUCCUGACUCCAGGUAUUGCCUAUGAGGUGAUGAUACAGAUGGCGAGAGAGAGAGAGAUCAUUUGCCCAAGGUCACACGCUUCUCCCCGCUGGGUAAAUAUUUCAGGGGCUGUGACCUGCCUGUAGGAGCACUUGCUUUCAGGAAAGCCCUGCUGAACACAUGACUUUGGAUCCUUGCUCUGGAGUGAAGGUGCCUCUCACCUGGGGCAGGAAGAGAAGGGGUGCAGAUCUACCUGAAAGUUCCAGUUCACCUUCUUCAGUUCUUGCAUCUCUGGGGAGUUCUCCUGGAAGCGUCUGAAGCAAGUGCAGUUGCUCCUAUAAGGCAAGGAGUCCUAUGGAGAAGCUCCCUGGGGGCAGCCUGGCUCGGGGCCCCUGGGAGGCUGACCCCCACCCAGAGGAAGCUGCUGCCCACAGGGGCCUGGACCCUGUGCUGCCUCACAGGAGAAGGUGAUGACAUACAGGUGCCUCCACAACACAGCCUUGCUGACUCAUGGACCCAGGCCACAGAACGGAACCUCAAGGUCCAGCAGGUAUUUGUUGAGAGAGAAGGUGGAAGAGUUGGCACCUGAUGCCUGGGUCUCCGUGCGGACAGGCCGCCCAUUCCCCAUGGCUGCUCCUUCCCAAGCUGUGGCUUCUGUGGUUUGUCCAGAGAAUGACCAGGUAGGGAGCGGGAUGGAGUUGGGUGAAGACGGCCAUGAUGGCCCAGUCCCUCUCCUAUAUGUUCCUGAGGCCUCCCUUCUCUAUCUCCAGCUGCUUGGGACUCUCCCUCAGAGCUCCAGAGUGGGGAGUCUCUUGAGAAGCUAGGGCGGGUCAAGGUGGAAUGUAAGACCGCCUUGCUGGAGGAGCCCGCCAUACCCCCAGCUAUUGGCCACUCCACCCGAGGGGCUAGGUUCCUAUCAAUAAUGGAACUAGUUUGUCAUCUUCCCACCAAAUCCAUUUGACCCCAGAUAGGACCCUUCAACCUCCUACAGAAUCUCCUCCCCAUAGCAAAACUCUGGGAAACCCUCUGGCCUCAGAAGAUGCCAACUCCCUGCCAGGGUAACAGCUGAGCUGUAAAUAAAUUCUAGCCCCCAACAGAAGUUCUCAUCUUGCAGUGGCCUCAAGGACAGUCAUCUGAAGGACAUUAUAAAGCCUACUGUUUCCUGAGCGCCUGUUCCACUGGGGCAGUACUUGUCAUGCACUGCCUCUAGACUUCCCAUCUACUUUGGAAGGAAAUUUUACAGGUGAGAAGUAGAAAGCACAGAGAGGCUGAGGUGGUUUGGGCAAGCUCCCACAGGUCCUAAAUGGCAGAGCCAGGAUCUGAGGCCAGGUAUAGCUCAUGGCCCUCUGCUGCCUCUCAAACACAGAGCAACUCGCUGGAGUUUUGGAGUUUGGAAUUGUUGGCAAUUCAGGAGGCUUUAAGGACCAUUUGGUCUGUCUGUCUCACUUUACAGAAAAGCAAACUGAAGUCCUGAGAAAGGAAGUGACAUGUAUACAGUCGGCAUUCAAUAAUGUAGAGGCCUUUCCAAGUGAUUUUGCAAGUCCCUGGCUAGUUGCCCGCUAGACAGGACUGUCUUCUCUGUGCAAUGGUCUCACUGUUGGCGUUUGUGAGCACUGCUCCCCAGGGUGCCCUCACCCUGGGACCGGGACUGUGUACUUACUGAGCUGCCAGUGGCAUGUCACAUUUCCCGCCUUGGCCCUGGUGUAGGCUGCUCAGCUCCAUGACUUCCACCACGUUGACAAAAGCUCUUGGAAGCUGUGGGAGCAGAGGGGUGGGUUUCAUUAGUCC